rnacentral:rRNA from 1 species
UCAGGACGAACGCUGGCGGCGUGCCUAAUACAUGCAAGUCGGACGGUCUUUCUAUGGAAGCUUGCUUCCACUGAGAAGAUAGUGGCGAACGGGUGAGUAACACGUGGGUAACCUGCCCAUAAGAGGGGGGAUAACAUCCGGAAACGGGUGCUAAUACCGCAUAGUUUUCUUGAUCGCAUGAUCGGGAAAGGAAAGACGGCCUUUGUGCUGUCGCUUAUGGAUGGACCCGCGGCGUAUUAGUUAGUUGGUGAGGUAACGGCUCACCAAGACGAUGAUACGUAGCCGACCUGAGAGGGUGAUCGGCCACAUUGGGACUGAGACACGGCCCAAACUCCUACGGGAGGCAGCAGUAGGGAAUCUUCCGCAAUGGACGAAAGUCUGACGGAGCAACGCCGCGUGAGUGAAGAAAAGGUUUUCGGAUCGUAAAACUCUGUUGUCAGAGAAGAACAAGUUGGAGAGUAACUGCUCCAGCCUUGACGGUAUCUGACCAGAAAGCCACGGCUAACUACGUGCCAGCAGCCGC